GUGCCAGCCGCCGCGGUAAUACGGAGGGGGCUAGCGUUGUUCGGAAUUACUGGGCGUAAAGCGCGCGUAGGCGGCUUGACAAGUUGGAGGUGAAAGCCCGGAGCUCAACUUCGGAAUUGCCUUCAAGACUGUCUCGCUCGAGGCAGGGAGAGGAGAGCGGAAUACCCAGUGUAGAGGUGAAAUUCGUAGAUAUUGGGUGGAACACCGGUGGCGAAGGCGGCUCUCUGGCCCUGAUCUGACGCUAAGGCGCGAAAGCGUGGGGAGCAAACAGGAUUAGAAACCCCGGUAGUCC
rnacentral:rRNA from 1 species